rnacentral:hammerhead_ribozyme from 1 species
GUACUGCUGAAGAGUCUCAAACUAGGACGAAACAGCUGUCGAGUAC